UUGGUAGCUUCGAGGGCGUGGGUGGAGAUGGUUGAAAAAGCUAGAAAGGCGAUGCAAUUCAAUGGUAUUUUUCUGGAGACUAAAAUUCAGGUUCGGGACUAUUGGAGGAACGCUUUGUUAAAGAUGGUGGAUGGUCGAGGACUACGGGAGGCGAGAUUGGCUGUUAGGGCAACAUGGGUGCGGGACCCUCCUAGAUACCUUUCCGGUAGGGAGUACGUGGAUUUGAUUAAACUCAGAAUACACGCGCUCCCGACGAAGUCUAGGUGUGCUAGGGGGCGAGCCAAGGACUUAAGAUGUCGUGCAGGGUGUGUUGUUAAUGAAACGCACACCCACGUGAUACAAAUAUGCCCUCGAACUUAUUCUGCACGGCUCAAAAGGCAUAAUGAGGUCGUUGCAUGGUUUAGGCGGAAGGCAGAAAGAGAAUCUUUCAUUUCUGCGGAAGAGCCUCGUGUUAAAGUCGGUGACGAAAUUCUAAAGCCUGAUUUAGUUUUAGUUAAAGACAGGAGGGCACUAGUUGUCGAUGCCCAGGUGGUGGGGGAGUAUAAACCCUUAAACUCUUUAGAUGCAGACAAAAUACGAAAAUAUUCGAAACCUGCAUUUAUUGAUAAAGUAAAAGAAACCUUUGAGGUUUCACGUGUUGAUGUCUACGCAAUCACAACCUCAGAACGUGGUAUAGUUAGUUCUAAUUCGGCAAACUUUUUGAACUCGGUCGGAGUAUCUAAGAGGGAGGUCGCCUACCUUGGCCAGUUGGUGGCCAGAGGUACGCUUAAAUGCUUUUACCACUUUAUGCGUGGUACCCAACGUGGUUUUUAAACUUACGACGAUACGAACUUCGAUAGUUUUUUUUUUCUCUCAUGUUGACUUGCAAUUGUUUAACGAUGCAUACGUGUGGAUGUAAAAACUUUUUGCGCGAAAGUGUUUAUCUUGUGUGCCCGCCCGUAAGGGGCGUCUGCCAUGCCGGCAUUUUUAAGGUUUAAGCUUUCCCUGAAAAAAGCGAAUGUAUUGAUCAGUGUGUCAAUAAACAAGACUAGCCAAAUGCCUCGUCAUCUAAUUAGUGACGCGCAUGAAUGGAUUAACGAGAUUCCCACUGUCCCUAUCUACUAUCUAGCGAAACCACAGUCAAGGGAACGGGCUUG
rnacentral:ncRNA from 1 species